CUGCGCUCUUUCCACAUCCCUAUGUAUUUUUAAACAAAUGGAGGUCUCUAGUUAGGGCAGGUGGGCAUACCCUUUCAUGGCCAUUAGAGGUAACUAGAGACCUCCAUUUGUUUAAAAAUACAUAGGGAUGUGGAAAGAGCACAGGU